rnacentral:rRNA from 1 species
GACGAACGCUGGCGGCAUGCCUAAUACAUGCGAGUCGAACGCUGAAGCACUCUGCUUGCAGAGUGCGGAUGAGUGGCGAACGGGUGAGUAACACGUGGGAAAACUGCCUAUAAGAGGGGGAUAACAUUCGGAAACGGAUGCUAAUACCGCAUAUAUUCUUGGACCGCCUGGUCCUUGAAAGAAAGACGGCUUUGCUGUCGCUUAUAGAUGAUCCCGCGGCGUAUUAGUUAGUUGGUGGGGUAAAGGCCUACCAAGACAAUGAUACGUAGCCGACCUGAGAGGGUGAUCGGCCACACUGGGACUGAGACACGGCCCAGACUCCUACGGGAGGCAGCAGUAGGGAAUCUUCCACAAUGGGCGAAAGCCUGAUGGAGCAAUGCCGCGUGAAUGAAGAAGGUCUUCGGAUCGUAAAGUUCUGUUAUUAGAGAAGAACAAGUCAAGGAGUAACUGUCUUGACUUUGACGGUACCUAACCAGAAAGUCACGGCUAACUACGUG